UGUGCCUACGGGAGGCAGCAGUGAGGAAUAUUGGCCAAUGGGCGGGAGCCUGAACCAGCCAAGUCGCGUGAAGGAAGAAGGUACUUAGUAUUGUAAACUUCUUUUGUCGGGGAACAAAGGCGGAGACGCGUCUCCGGAUGAGUGUACCCGAAGAAAAAGCAUCGGCUAACUCCGUGCCAGCAGCCGCGGUAAUACGGAGGAUGCGAGCGUUAUCCGGAUUUAUUGGGUUUAAAGGGUGCGCAGGCGGGGGAUCAAGUCAGCGGGAAAAUGUCGGGGGUCAACCCCGGGCGGCCGUUGAAACUGGG
rnacentral:rRNA from 1 species